UACAGAGGUCCCAAGCGUUGUUCGGAUUCACUGGGCGUAAAGGGUGCGUAGGCGGUUGGGUAAGUCUGUCGUGAAAUCUCCGAGCCUAACUCGGAAACUGCGUCGGAUACUAUUCAACUCGAGGAAUGGAGGGGAGACUGGAAUUCUCGGUGUAGCAGUGAAAUGCGUAGAUAUCGAGAGGAACACCAGUGGCGAAGGCGAGUCUCUGGACAUUUCCUGGCGCUGAGGCACGAAAGCCAGGGGAGCAAACGGG
rnacentral:rRNA from 1 species